UGUAUGUAGGGUUCGGUACUGCCUGUGGUUCCAGGCAUUCCCUGGGGAUCUUGGAAUGUGUCCCCGUGGAUAAGUGGGGACUAGUGUGUACCCAACAGGAACAGAGGAUGGAGUGUAGAAGGAAAGGGUCUGUGUUAUUUUAGGUGUUAUCUAUGGAUCUUCUAGAACAUUCCAAGAAAAGAACAUAGAGGAAGUUAUUAUGUCAUUGAAAGCUAAAAUGUGUAUGCUAUUGACAUUGUUUUCCUUGGAUUAUUUAGGGGAUUGUUAUUAUGGGAGCGUACAAGGAAAGAGAGAAAAUAGUGAAGACUCACCAGAAAGAGGACCAGAGCAUGUGGAGACAAAGAUGUUACACCGAGAGGUAUAAAAUGAAACGAAGCUAAAGGAAUGGCUCACAGUGACUGAAUUUUGUAGAUGAUUGAUGAUCGGAAGUUUAAGCCAGCCCCUUGCAGAGGGAAAGAUGAACACUCUGUGCUGCCUUCUCCUGAGGAGCAAGCCAGGAGGUUGAACAUAUUGAUCUCAGAUCAGAAAGAUGCCAAAUCUAAUGAGCUUGGCCGGGGUCUGAUUGCUCUGACGGUUGGUGAGUCUUUCUGACGGGAACACGAAGGCAGAGGAACCCAGAAAGCCCUCAGCUCGAAUGAGGAAGAUAAACCACCCACAUUCUGCCUGAAGAAGUGCGUUCUCAACGUCCAAAGACCGAGCCUGAACUUCAGAUCUCCUUCUGCUCUCAAGCUGUGAUAUUCUGAAACCCAAAUCCCAGAGCACUUUGAAACAAGGUCCGUGUUCUGCUGGUCCUACAGCCACGUGUGCACAGCGCUGACUAUUCACAUGGCCGUCAAGUGAGAACAACGUUGGUAUCGCAUGCCGCCUGCUGGUUCAUUCUUUCAGCACCGCCCGAGACCAAAAUGGUGACAAAGGUCAUGAAAGAGGGAAUUAUUCCAGUUUAGAAGACGAUCAAGGUACUUUUUUUUUACUUAAGGGCUGAAUUACGAGAAAUGAAAAUUUGAAUUAUAAGUUAU
rnacentral:lncRNA from 1 species